rnacentral:rRNA from 1 species
CAGCCGCCGCGGUAAUACGUAGGUGGCAAGCGUUGUCCGGAAUUAUUGGGUGUAAAGCGCGCGCAGGUGGUUUAAUAAGUCUGAUGUGAAAGCCCACGGCUCAACCGUGGAGGGUCAUUGGAAACUGUUAAACUUGAGUGCAGGAGAGAAAAGUGGAAUUCCUAGUGUAGCGGUGAAAUGCGUAGAGAUUAGGAGGAACACCAGUGGCGAAGGCGGCUUUUUGGCCUGUAACUGACACUGAGGCGCGAAAGCGUGGGGAGCAAACAGGAUUAGAUACCCCCGUAGUCCCUGUCUCUUAUAC